rnacentral:misc_RNA from 1 species
AAGGAUCAUUAACGAGUUCUGAAAGGGGUUGUAGCUGGCCUUCCGAGGCAUGUGCACGCCCUGCUCAUCCACUCUACACCUGUGCACUUACUGUAGGUUUGGCGUGGGCUUCGGGGGCCUCCGGGCUUUCGAGGCAUUCUGCCGGCCUAUGUAACACUACAAACACAUAAAGUAACAGAAUGUCAUCGCGUCUAACGCACAUAAAUACAACUUUCAGCAACGGAUCUCUUGGCUCUCGCAUCGAU